GCGGGUGUGGCGGAACUGGCAGACGCGCUGGAUUUAGGUUCCAGUGCCGCAAGGCGUGCAGGUUCGAUUCCUGUCACCCGUACUA
rnacentral:tRNA from 2 species